GGAGGAAUAUGCUGGCGGAAGCUAUUGUUUUUAAGGUCUAGUACCUUUAGAAAGCUCAAGUUUCCAAUGUGUGGAGGUAUGGUGCCCACAAGUUUCAAGGAAUUGAGGUCCAAUUCUGUGACCCUCUGGUGCCGGCGGCUACAUGUAACCCCAUACCACUUGCAGAAGUGGAUGGAACUAUUCCAGGAGCUCAUUACCCCAAAAGGAUCAGCAUCUAUUUUGUCCUUGAAUUCCAGCAAAGCUAGUCGAUCGGUGUCGUUCCCAGCAAUUGCAUAUGUUGCUGAUGGAAAGAGCAACAGACAAACAACAACGUGGAUGUAAAAACAUGACCAGAAGCAUCCACACCCCAUCCCAAAGCAAAAAUUUCACUGCAAUUGCAGCUUUUUAUUUAAGUGAUCCUAAAUGGCGUUGGUUUAGCGAGCAAGAUGGAGGAAAAAGACUUAUGUAUAUCAGGAAUUUGAAGUCCUUAUCAUUUUCC
rnacentral:misc_RNA from 1 species